rnacentral:lncRNA from 1 species
UUGGCAUAGCUAUGCUGUUGAAGUGGAAAGGGCCAACAACAUUAGAUUGAUCUGCUAGAGUGCGUCUUGGAGGGGGUUGUUCAUUUGCCAUCUCUUCUGAUUCUAGUGUACGAGCUUCUGGUGAAGGUGAUAAUAAUCUGUCAGGAGAAGGAAACAAAUCCCUAGAUGGGCAUCUGACUCUCUUUCCCCUUGUUUCACUCAAGCCUUGAAGAAGAGGUUGCGCAUUUUUCUUGCUCCUAGUAUGUCUAGUCUCCUACAUGCACAAGAAACACAAAC